AGCUCCAAUAGCGUAUAUUAAAGUUGUUGCAGUUAAAAAGCUCGUAGUUGGAUUUGGGACGGGGGUCGCGCGGUCGGCCGCAAGGUCUGCUACUGUGCGGCCUCGUCAUUUACACUCUCGGAGACCCGUCGUGCACUUCGCUGUGCGCGGCGCGGGACUCGGGACGUUUACUUUGAAAAAAUUAGAGUGUUCAAAGCAGGCUUCAUCAAGCCCGGAUACAUGAGCGUGGAAUAAUGGAAUAGGACCGCGGUUCUAUUUUGUUGGUUUCUACGACCGCAGUAAUGAUUAAGAGGGACAAUUGGGGGCGUCCGUAUUUCGUUGUCAGAGGUGAAAUUCUUGGAUUUACGAAAGACGAACAACUGCGAAAGCAUUCGCCAAGAGUGUUUUCAUUAAUCAAGAA
rnacentral:rRNA from 1 species